GUUUACAGAGAAGUUCUUCAAAAUCUCGCAGGGCUCCACUGGCACUAAGCAGCAGCAAAAGGCACUUCAGCGUCAAGAAGUCUGAAAGCUGAGGCAGCCUAAGCGAUGCGUGCAUGCAUUGACCAACGAACUAGACCGGGACUGUGGGUCAGCCAUAAAGAGGAAGGAGAGCCUCAUAUACGUUAGGCGUCCCUCCAGAGCCCUAGGCCACAAGGAGCUGGCUGGUCUCAAAAGGACAAAGAGCUUAUGCAUCUAUUUCUGAGGACCCUAGAGUCUCAGGCCUACUGAGGCAGAAAGCAGAAUGAAACACCUAGACUGGAGAGGGAUGGACAGUGAAUCAAGAUGCAGAACUCUCAGCUCCUUCUCCAGCACCAUGUGUGCCUAGACGCUGCCGUGCUCCCACUAUGAUAAUCAUGGACAGAACCUCUGAAACUAUGAACUGCACACUGUGUUAGCUGUGGAGUUGCAUUCGUGGAGGACAUGAAUUCCUUGGGGACACCUGCAGAGAGACACCCCCAGUUCAUCCUGCCAGACCCCUCCUGCAUUCAUCAGCAGCAGAUGUCCAGCAAGGCGUGAUGUCGCUCCAAACCACAUCAGGCAGGAUCCUGAUCCAAGAUCUGCAACAGUGUUCUGUCCACACAGCUGUCACCAGCCUCACUGGCAUCUCAGACAGUAUCGUGUCAUUACUACUUAAUAAAAGCCAGUUACUGUAUUUUCCUCCUCCGUUGAUGUCCAUAGCUUCUUUGGUGGCCUUGCAGUGAGGAAAAGGAGAGGCCUGCCUGGCCUCUCUCAAGAGACUCAGAUUUCAGAUUCCCCAGAGAAGGAACAGUCCUCUGUAAGUGGCUUGUGCUGGUGCCUCCUAGUAUCUGUGGACUGAACACCUCCAUCUGACUGAAAUAACACUCUUAAUGAGGGGCGAAACCACAGGAUUUGCCCACACCUUGCCCAGCAGUUUCAACCCUGAACCCCCCAUGUUAACCCAGUACUACCUUCCUGAUAAUGAAUGAGGCAUUACCCAGCCCUUCCAAAGCCAAAUACACUGAAGAACCCUCUGGAAGACCUAACUCAGG